rnacentral:ncRNA from 1 species
CGACCCCAGGUCAGGCGGGACUACCCGCUGAGUUUAAGCAUAUAAAUAAGCGGAGGAGAAGAAACUUACAAGGAUUCCCCUAGUAACGGCGAGCGAACCGGGAGCAUCCCAGCUUGAGAAUCGGGCGGCUGUGCCGUUCGAAUUGUAGUCUGGAGAGGCGUCCUCAGCGACGGACCGGGCCCAAGUCCCCUGGAAAGGGGCGCCUGGGAGGGUGAGAGCCCCGUCCGGCCCGGACCCUGUCGCCCCACGAGGCGCCGUCAACGAGUCGGGUUGUUUGGGAAUGUAACCCAAAUCGGGCGGUAGACUCCGUCCAAGGCUAAAUACAGGCGAGAGACCGAUAGCGAACAAGUACCACGAGGGAAAGAUGAAAAGGACUUUGAAAAGAGAGUCAAAGAGUGCUUGAAAUUGCUGGGAGGGAAGCGGAUGGGGGCCGGGGAUGCGCCCCGGCCGUAUGCGGAACGGCUCUUGCUGGUCCGCCACUCGGCUCGGGGUGUGGACUGUUGUCGGCCGCGCCGGCGGCCAAAGCCCGGGGGCCCUAGGUGCCCCCGGUGGCCGUCGUCGGCACAGCGGGUACCCGCACGCCGAAAGGCGUGUCCCUCGGGGCACUGCGCUGCAACGGCCUGCGGGCUCCCCAUCCGACCCGUCUUGAAACACGGACCAAGGAGUCUGACAUGCGUGCGAGUCGACGGGUUCUGAAACCUGGGAUGCGCAAGGAAGCUGACGAGCGGGAGGCCCUCACGGGCCGCACCGCUGGCCGACCCUGAUCUUCUGUGAAGGGNAACCUGGGAUGCGCAAGGAAGCUGACGAGCGGGAGGCCCUCACGGGCCGCACCGCUGGCCGACCCUGAUCUUCUGUGAAGGGUUCGAGUUGGAGCACACCUGUCGGGACCCGAAAGAUGGUGAACUAUGCCUGAGCGGGGCGAAGCCAGAGGAAACUCUGGUGGAGGCUCGAAACGAUACUGACGUGCAAAUCGUUCGUCUGACUUGGGUAUAGGGGCGAAAGACUAAUCGAACCAUCUAGUAGCUGGUUCCCUCCGAAGUUUCCCUCAGGAUAGUUGGAACCCAUUACAAGUUCUAUCAGGUAAAGCCAAUGAUUAGAGGCAUCGGGGACGCAACAUCCUCGACCUAUUCUCAAACUUUAAAUAGGUAGGAUGGCGCGGCUGCUUCGGUGAGCCGUGCCACGGAAUCAGGUGCUCCAAGUGGGCCAUUUUUGGUAAGCAGAACUGGCGAUGCGGGAUGAACCGGAAGCCGGGUUACGGUGCCCAACUGCGCACUAACCUAGAACCCACAAAGGGUGUUGGUUGAUUAAGACAGCAGGAUGGUGGUCAUGGAAGUCGAAAUCCGCUAACGAGUGUGUAACAACUCACCUGCCGAAUCAACUAGCCCCGAAAAUGGAUGGCGCUGAAGUGCGCGACCCACACCCGGCCAUCUGGGCAAGCGCCAUGCCCCGAUGAGUAGGAGGGCGCAGCGGCCGCUGCAAAACCCGGGGCGCGAGCCCGGGCAGAGCGGCCUCGGUGCAGAUCUUGGUGGUAGUAGCAAAUAUUCAAAUGAGAACUUUGAAGGCCGAAGAGGAGAAAGGUUCCAUGUGAACGACACUUGGACAUGGGUAAGCCGAUCCUAAGGGACGGGGUAACCCCGGCAGAUAGCGCGAUCACACGCAUCCCCCGAAAGGGAAUCGGGUUAAGAUUUCCCGAGCCGGGAUGUGGUGGUUGACGGCUGUCACAGCCCUAGAGUACCUGAGUGAAAUAGUUGCAUCUGCACUCAUGCAUCAUGUCUAAAUUCUGAAAGUUGAAUUGAGGUUAGUUGAAACCCUCAUAAAUCACUUCAAAAAUAAUCAACAUUAAAAUCUUUUCAAAGAAGUCCAAGAAAAUGUUCCUCUUAGUCUCUGAAAAUAUUGGCAAGAGGUAAAACUUAAA